rnacentral:lncRNA from 1 species
GAUACCAUCCACCCCGUUGGUGGGCCUAUUGUUGGCAAGUACUGCAGGUGUAGGUGGUGUUGUUGGAGUGACACGAGUUACUUAAUAUUUUGUAGUCAAAGCUUGUAGUGCUUCUGCUUAUUGUCCUAUCAUGUCCAUCAAAUUCCACAUUUGGGUCUUGACACUUUCCAUAUUAAUAUAGACUGCUCCUAACUCUGUGUUAUAGGAUGCUUCUAGAUAACUUUCCAUUUUAGUGCUUUCUUGUUUGAUUAAC